AGUGAACGCUGGCGGUAGGCCUAACACAUGCAAGUCGAACGGCAGCACAGUAAGAGCUUGCUCUUACGGGUGGCGAGUGGCGGGCGGGUGAGGAAUACAUCGGAAUCUACUUUUUCGUGGGGGAUAACGUAGGGAAACUUACGCUAAUACCGCAUACGACCUACGGGUGAAAGCAGGGGAUCUUCGGACCUUGCGCGAUUGAAUGAGCCGAUGUCGGAUUAGCUAGUUGGCGGGGUAAAGGCCCACCAAGGCGACGAUCCGUAGCUGGUCUGAGAGGAUGAUCAGCAACACUGGAACUGAGACACGGUCCAGACUCCGACGGGAGGCAGCAGUGGGGAAUAUUGGACAAUGGGCGAAAGCCUGAUCCAGCCAUACCGCGUGGGUGAAGAAGGCCUUCGGGUUGUAAAGCCCUUUUGUUGGGAAAGAAAAGCAGCAGGUUAAUACCCCGCUGUUCUGACGGUACCCAAAGAAUAAGCACCGGCUAACUUCGUG
rnacentral:rRNA from 1 species